rnacentral:rRNA from 1 species
GGCCUUAGUGGCGCACGGGUGCGUAACGCGUGGGAAUCUGCCCCUUGGUUCGGAAUAACAGUUGGAAACGACUGCUAAUACCGGAUGACGACGUAAGUCCAAGGAUUUAUCGCCGAGGGAUGAGCCCGCGUAGGAUUAGGUAGUUGGUGUGGUAAAGGCGCACCAAGCCGACGAUCCUUAGCUGGUCUGAGAGGAUGAUCAGCCACACUGGGACUGAGACACGGCCCAGACUCCUACGGGAGGCAGCAGUGGGGAAUAUUGGACAAUGGGCGAAAGCCUGAUCCAGCAAUGCCGCGUGAGUGAUGAAGGCCUUAGGGUUGUAAAGCUCUUUUACCCGGGAUGAUAAUGACAGUACCGGGAGAAUAAGCUCCGGCUAACUCCGUGCCAGCAGCCGCGGUAAUACGGAGGGAGCUAGCGUUAUUCGGAAUUACUGGGCGUAAAGCGCACAUAGGCGGCUUUGUAAGUAAGAGGUGAAAGCCCAGAGCUCAACUCUGGAAUUGCCUUUUAGACUGCAUCGCUUGAAUCAUGGAGAGGUCAGUGGAAUUCCGAGUGUAGAGGUGAAAUUCGUAGAUAUUCGGAAGA